GACGAACGCUGGCGGCGUGCUUUAACACAUGCAAGUCGAACGAAGAGCGAUGGAAGCUUGCUUCUAUCAUCUUAGUGGCGAACGGGUGAGUAACGCGUAAUCAACCUGCCCUUCAGAGGGGGACAACAGUUGGAAACGACUGCUAAUACCGCAUACGAUCUAAUCUCGGCAUCGAGGAAAGAUGAAAGGUGGCCUCUAUUUAUAAGCUAUCACUGAAGGAGGGGAUUGCGUCUGAUUAGCUAGUUGGAGGGGUAACGGCCCACCAAGGCGAUGAUCAGUAGCCGGUCUGAGAGGAUGAACGGCCACAUUGGGACUGAGACACGGCCCAGACUCCUACGGGAGGCAGCAGUGGGGAAUCUUCCGCAAUGGACGAAAGUCUGACGGAGCAACGCCGCGUGAGUGAUGACGGCCUUCGGGUUGUAAAGCUCUGUUAAUCGGGACGAAAGCCUUCUUGCGAACAGUUAGAAGGAUUGAUCGUACCGGAAUAGAAUCAGAC
rnacentral:rRNA from 1 species